CUACGGGCCGCUGCAGCGGGGAAUAUUGCGCAAUGGGCGAAAGCCUGACGCAGCAACGCCGUGUGAGGGAUGAAGGCUUUCGGGUCGUAAACCUCUGUCAGAAGGGAAGAACGGGUAUUGGUCUAAUAGGCCUUUAUUUUGACGGUACCUUCAGAGGAAGCACCGGCUAACUCCGUGCCAGCAGCCGCGGUAAUACGGAGGGUGCAAGCGUUAUUCGGAAUUACUGGGCGUAAAGCGCACGUAGGCCGCUUUGUAAGUCAGGGGUGAAAUCCCACGGCUCAACCGUGGAACUGCCUUUGAAACUGCAGAGCUUGAAUCCUGGAGAGGGUGGCGGAAUUCCUGGUGUAGGAGCGAAAUCCGUAGAUAUCAGGAGGAACACCGGUGGCGAAGGCGGCCACCUGGACAGGUAUUGACGCUGAGGUGCGAAAGUGUGGGGAGCAAACAGGAUUAGAUACCCUAGUAGUC
rnacentral:rRNA from 1 species